GAUGAAGAACGCAGCGAAAUGCGAUAAGUAAUGUGAAUUGCAGAAUUCAGUGAAUCAUCGAGUCUUUGAACGCACAUUGCGCCCCCUGGUAUUCCGGGGGGCAUGCCUGUCCGAGCGUCAUUGCUGCCCUCAAGCACGGCUUGUGUGUUGGGCCCCGUCCCCUCCCCCGGGGACGGGCCCGAAAGGCAGCGGCGGCACCGCGUCCGAUCCUCGAGCGUAUGGGGCUUUGUCACCCGCUCUGUAGGCCCGGACGGCGCCAGCCGACACCCAACUUUUAUUUCUAAGGUUGACCUCGGAUCAGGUAGGGAUACCCGCUGAACUUAAGCAUAUCAAUAAGCGGAGGA
rnacentral:misc_RNA from 1 species